CUCUUGGGUGACGAGUGGCGGACGGGUGAGUAAUGCCUGGGAAACUGCCCGAUGGAGGGGGAUAACUACUGGAAACGGUAGCUAAUACCGCAUAACGUCUUCGGACCAAAGUGGGGGACCUUCGGGCCUCACACCAUCGGAUGUGCCCAGGUGGGAUUAGCUAGUAGGUGGGGUAAUGGCUCACCUAGGCGACGAUCCCUAGCUGGUCUGAGAGGAUGACCAGCCACACUGGAACUGAGACACGGUCCAGACUCCUACGGGAGGCAGCAGUGGGGAAUAUUGCACAAUGGGCGCAAGCCUGAUGCAGCCAUGCCGCGUGUAUGAAGAAGGCCUUCGGGUUGUAAAGUACUUUCAGUGGGGAGGAAGGCAGUGAGGUUAAUAGCUUCGCUGAUUGACGUUACCCGCAGAAGAAGCACCGGCUAACUCCGUGCCAGCAGCCGCGGUAAUACGGAGGGUGCAAGCGUUAAUCGGAAUUACUGGGCGUAAAGCGCACGCAGGCGGUCUGUCAAGUCGGAUGUGAAAUCCCCGGGCUCAACCUGGGAACUGCAUUCGAAACUGGCAGACUAGAGUCUUGUAGAGGGGGGUAGAAUUCCAGGUGUAGCGGUGAAAUGCGUAGAGAUCUGGAGGAAUACCGGUGGCGAAGGCGGCCCCCUGGACAAAGACUGACGC
rnacentral:rRNA from 1 species